AUUUACGGCCAUGCCACCCUGAAUGCAUCCAAUCUUAACUGAUCUCGGAAGCUAAGCAGGGUCAGUACUUGGAUGGGAGACACAAUUUAAAAAUUUUUAAGUGGAUAUAAACA
ensembl:rRNA 5S_rRNA 5S ribosomal RNA